UACGUAGGGUGCGAGCGUUGUCCGGAAUUAUUGGGCGUAAAGGGCUCGUAGGCGGUCUGUCGCGUCUGCUGUGAAAACUCGGGGCUUAACCCCGGGCCUGCAGUGGGUACGGGCAGACUAGAGUGCGGUAGGGGAGACUGGAAUUCCUGGUGUAGCGGUGAAAUGCGCAGAUAUCAGGAGGAACACCGGUGGCGAAGGCGGUUCUCUGGGCCUUACCUGACGCUGAGGAGCGAAAGCGUGGGGAGCGAACAGG
rnacentral:rRNA from 1 species